UACGGGGGGAGCAAGCGUUGUUCGGAUUUACUGGGCGUAAAGGGCGCGUAGGCGGUCGUGACAAGUCACUUGUGAAAUCUCCGAGCUUAACUCGGAACGGUCAAGUGAUACUGUCGGACUAGAGUACAGAAGGGGCAACUGGAAUUCUCGGUGUAGCGGUGAAAUGCGUAGAUAUCGAGAGGAACACCUGCGGCGAAGGCGGGUUGCUGGGCUGAUACUGACGCUGAGGCGCGAAAGCCAGGGGAGCGAACGGG
rnacentral:rRNA from 1 species